UACGAAGGGGGCUAGCGUUGUUCGGAAUUACUGGGCGUAAAGCGUGCGCAGGCGGCUGCUCAAGUCAGGGGUGAAAGCCCAGAGCUCAACUCUGGAACUGCCUUUGAGACUGAGUGGCUUGAGUACGGGAGAGGUGAGUGGAAUUCCCAGUGUAGAGGUGAAAUUCGUAGAUAUUGGGAAGAACACCGGUGGCGAAGGCGGCUCACUGGCCCGUAACUGACGCUCAUGCACGACAGCGUGGGGAUCAAACAGG
rnacentral:rRNA from 1 species